GGGUCAGUAGGUUGGUCGUGCCACCGGUACGUACUGGUCUCACUGAUUCCUCCUUCCUGAAGAACCGUAAUGCCAUUAAUUUGGUGUCGCGGGGAAACAGGACUGUUACUCUGAAAAAAUUAGAGUGUUUAAAGCAAGCUAACGCUUGAAUACAUUAGCAUGGAAUAAUGAAAUAGGACGAUCGAUCCUAUUUUGUUGGUUUCUAGGAUUGACGUA
rnacentral:rRNA from 1 species